GGUUAAGCGACUAAGCGUACACGGUGGAUGCCCUGGCAGUCAGAGGCGAUGAAGGACGUGCUAAUCUGCGAAAAGCGUCGGUAAGGUGAUAUGAACCGUUAUAACCGGCGAUGUCCGAAUGGGGAAACCCAGUGCAAUUCGUUGCACUAUCGUUAACUGAAUACAUAGGUUAACGAGGCGAACCGGGGGAACUGAAACAUCUAAGUACCCCGAGGAAAAGAAAUCAACCGAGAUUCCCCCAGUAGCGGCGAGCGAACGGGGAGCAGCCCAGAGUCUGAAUCAGCUUGUGUGUUAGUGGAACGGUCUGGAAAGUCCGACGGUACAGGGUGAUAGUCCCGUACACCAAAAUGCACAGGCUGUGAACUCGAAGAGUAGGGCGGGACACGUGGUAUCCUGUCUGAAUAUGGGGGGACCAUCCUCCAAGGCUAAAUACUCCUGACUGACCGAUAGUGAACCAGUACCGUGAGGGAAAGGCGAAAAGAACCCCGGCGAGGGGAGUGAAAAAGAACCUGAAACCGUGUACGUACAAGCAGUGGGAGCACCUUCGGGUGUGACUGCGUACCUUUUGUAUAAUGGGUCAGCGACUUAUAUUCUGUAGCAAGGUUAACCGUAUAGGGGAGCCGCAGGGAAACCGAGUCUUAACUGGGCGUUAAGUUGCAGGGUAUAGACCCGAAACCCGGUGAUCUAGCCAUGGGCAGGUUGAAGGUUGGGUAACACUAACUGGAGGACCGAACCGACUAAUGUUGAAAAAUUAGCGGAUGACUUGUGGCUGGGGGUGAAAGGCCAAUCAAACCGGGAGAUAGCUGGUUCUCCCCGAAAGCUAUUUAGGUAGCGCCUCGUGAACUCAUCUUCGGGGGUAGAGCACUGUUUCGGCUAGGGGGUCAUCCCGACUUACCAACCCGAUGCAAACUACGAAUACCGAAGAAUGUUAUCACGGGAGACACACGGCGGGUGCUAACGUCCGUCGUGAAGAGGGAAACAACCCAGACCGCCAGCUAAGGUCCCAAAGUCAUGGUUAAGUGGGAAACGAUGUGGGAAGGCACAGACAGCCAGGAUGUUGGCUUAGAAGCAGCCAUCAUUUAAAGAAAGCGUAAUAGCUCACUGGUCGAGUCGGCCUGCGCGGAAGAUGUAACGGGGCUAAACCAUGCACCGAAGCUGCGGCAGCGACACUAUGUGUUGUUGGGUAGGGGAGCGUUCUGUAAGCCUGCGAAGGUGUGCUGUGAGGCAUGCUGGAGGUAUCAGAAGUGCGAAUGCUGACAUAAGUAACGAUAAAGCGGGUGAAAAGCCCGCUCGCCGGAAGACCAAGGGUUCCUGUCCAACGUUAAUCGGGGCAGGGUGAGUCGACCCCUAAGGCGAGGCCGAAAGGCGUAGUCGAUGGGAAACAGGUUAAUAUUCCUGUACUUGGUGUUACUGCGAAGGGGGGACGGAGAAGGCUAUGUUAGCCGGGCGACGGUUGUCCCGGUUUAAGCAUGUAGGCUGGUUAUCCAGGCAAAUCCGGAUAAUCAAGGCUGAGGUGUGAUGACGAGGCACUACGGUGCUGAAGUAACAAAUGCCCUGCUUCCAGGAAAAGCCUCUAAGCAUCAGGUAACAUCAAAUCGUACCCCAAACCGACACAGGUGGUCAGGUAGAGAAUACCAAGGCGCUUGAGAGAACUCGGGUGAAGGAACUAGGCAAAAUGGUGCCGUAACUUCGGGAGAAGGCACGCUGGUGUGUAGGUGAAGUCCCUGCGGAUGGAGCUGAGACCAGUCGAAGAUACCAGCUGGCUGCAACUGUUUAUUAAAAACACAGCACUGUGCAAACACGAAAGUGGACGUAUACGGUGUGACGCCUGCCCGGUGCCGGAAGGUUAAUUGAUGGGGUUAUCCGUAAGGAGAAGCUCUUGAUCGAAGCCCCGGUAAACGGCGGCCGUAACUAUAACGGUCCUAAGGUAGCGAAAUUCCUUGUCGGGUAAGUUCCGACCUGCACGAAUGGCGUAAUGAUGGCCAGGCUGUCUCCACCCGAGACUCAGUGAAAUUGAACUCGCUGUGAAGAUGCAGUGUACCCGCGGCAAGACGGAAAGACCCCGUGAACCUUUACUAUAGCUUGACACUGAACAUUGAGCCUUGAUGUGUAGGAUAGGUGGGAGGCUUUGAAGCGUGGACGCCAGUCUGCGUGGAGCCAACCUUGAAAUACCACCCUUUAAUGUUUGAUGUUCUAACGUUGGCCCCUUACCGGGGUUGCGGACAGUGUCUGGUGGGUAGUUUGACUGGGGCGGUCUCCUCCCAAAGCGUAACGGAGGAGCACGAAGGUUAGCUAAUCCUGGUCGGACAUCAGGAGGUUAGUGCAAUGGCAUAAGCUAGCUUGACUGCGAGCGUGACGGCGCGAGCAGGUGCGAAAGCAGGUCAUAGUGAUCCGGUGGUUCUGAAUGGAAGGGCCAUCGCUCAACGGAUAAAAGGUACUCCGGGGAUAACAGGCUGAUACCGCCCAAGAGUUCAUAUCGACGGCGGUGUUUGGCACCUCGAUGUCGGCUCAUCACAUCCUGGGGCUGAAGUAGGUCCCAAGGGUAUGGCUGUUCGCCAUUUAAAGUGGUACGCGAGCUGGGUUUAGAACGUCGUGAGACAGUUCGGUCCCUAUCUGCCGUGGGCGCUGGAGAAUUGAGGGGGGCUGCUCCUAGUACGAGAGGACCGGAGUGGACGCAUCACUGGUGUUCGGGUUGUCAUGCCAAUGGCACUGCCCGGUAGCUAAAUGCGGAAGAGAUAAGUGCUGAAAGCAUCUAAGCACGAAACUUGCCCCGAGAUGAGUUCUCCCUGAGACUAUAAGUCUCCUGAAGGAACGUUAAAGACGAUGACGUUGAUAGGCCGGGUGUGUAAGCGCAGCGAUGCGUUGAGCUAACCGGUACUAAUGAACCGUGAGGCUUAACCUU
rnacentral:rRNA from 1 species